rnacentral:misc_RNA from 1 species
CAAAACUGUGAAUCCCACUUGCUUUUGCUUCUUCGUAUUCUUUCCUCAGCUGCAAUGAAUGCACCUUCGAGCAAGGACCCAGGUCCAUUUUCGUGAGCUGGAAGAGAUCGUGGGGGCAGAGGCCAGCAAGGAAGAGGCGGCAGACGUCGCGAUCGUAGUACUUCCGGUUGACCUCCGUGACAUCGCCGUUCCUGUUAGCGCCCAUCAGCACGUCGAGCUGCUUCCUCAUGGCGUCCAUGGCGGGCUAGGGUUAGG